rnacentral:rRNA from 1 species
UCGGGAAUUUUGGACAAUGGGCGCAAGCCUGAUCCAGCCAUGCCGCGUGUGGGAAGAAGGCCUUCGGGUUGUAAACCACUUUUGUCAGGGAAGAAACGGCCUGAUCUAAUACAUUGGGUUAAUGACGGUACCUGAAGAAUAAGCACCGGCUAACUACGUGCCAGCAGCCGCGGUAAUACGUAGGGUGCGAGCGUUAAUCGGAAUUACUGGGCGUAAAGCGUGCGCAGGCGGCUUUGCAAGACAGAUGUGAAAUCCCCGGGCUCAACCUGGGAACUGCAUUUGUGACUGCAAGGCUAGAGUACGGUAGAGGGGGAUGGAAUUCCGCGUGUAGCAGUGAAAUGCGUAGAUAUGCGGAGGAACACCGAUGGCGAAGGCAAUCCCCUGGACCUGUACUGACGCUCAUGCACGAAAGCGUGGGGAGCAAACAGGAUUAGAUACCCACGUAGUCCCUGAGCGGGCUGGCAAGGCGCAU